AUUGAACGCUGGCGGCAGGCCUAACACAUGCAAGUCGAACGAGUGGCGGACGGGUGAGUAAUGUCUGGGCAACUGCCUGAUGGAGGGGGAUAACUACUGGAAACGGUAGCUAAUACCGCAUACCAUCAGAUGUGCCCAGAUGGGAUUAGCUAGUUGGUGGGGUAACGGCUCACCAAGGCGACGAUCCCUAGCUGGUCUGAGAGGCUGACCAGCAACCCGGUAACGGAGACACGGUCCGGACUCCUACGGGAGGCAGCAGUGGGGAAUAUUGGACAAUGGGCGCAAGCCUGAUGAAGCCAUGCCGCGUGUAGGAAGAAGGCCUGCGGUUGGUAAAGUACUUUCAGCGGGGAGGCGUUACCCGCAGAAGAAGCACCGGCUAACUCCGUGCCAGCAGCCGCGGUAAUUC
rnacentral:rRNA from 1 species